AUCCCUGUAACGUAAUGGUAACACGUUGGACUUCCAAUCCAAAAGUUGUGGGUUCGCAUCCCACCUGGGAUG